AGCCUUCUGUGUCCGUGCUGAGAUUUCGUCACACACAAGAGCUGGUGAGACUUCCAAGAUAAGUGAAGCG
rnacentral:pre_miRNA from 1 species